rnacentral:rRNA from 1 species
CAGCAGCCGCGGGAACACGUAGGGUGCGAGCGUUAAUCGGAGUUACUGGGCGUAAAGCGUGCGCAGGCGGUUGUGUAAGACAGGUGUGAAAUCCCCGGGCUUAACCUGGGAACUGCGCUUGUGACUGCACAGCUAGAGUAUGGCAGAGGGGGGUGGAAUUCCACGUGUAGCAGUGAAAUGCGUAGAGAUGUGGAGGAACACCGAUGGCGAAGGCAGCCCCCUGGGCCAAUACUGACGCUCAUGCACGAAAGCGUGGGGAGCAAACAGGAUUAGAUACCCCAGUAGUCCCUGUCUCUUAUAU